CCUACGGGUGGCAGCAGUGAGGAAUAUUGGUCAAUGGACGAGAGUCUGAACCAGCCAAGUAGCGUGAAGGAUGACUGCCCUAUGGGUUGUAAACUUCUUUUAUAUGGGAAUAAAAUGUUCCACGUGUGGGAUUUUGUAUGUACCAUAUGAAUAAGGAUCGGCUAACUCCGUGCCAGCAGCCGCGGUAAUACGGAGGAUCCGAGCGUUAUCCGGAUUUAUUGGGGUUAAAGGGAGCGUAGGUGGAUUGUUAAGUCAGUUGUGAAAGUUUGUUGCUCAACCGUAAAAUUGCAGUUGAAACUGGCAGUCUUGAGUACAGUAGAGGUGGGCGGAAUUCGUGGUGUAGCGGUGAAAUGCUUAGAUAUCACGAAGAACUCCGAUUGCGAAGGCAGUUCACUGGACUGCAACUGACACUGAGGCUCGAAAGUGUGGGUAUCAAACAGGAUUAGAUACCCUUGUAGUC
rnacentral:rRNA from 1 species